rnacentral:lncRNA from 1 species
GUUUCGAAUUGAGCGAAAGGAAAAUCAUUCAAACCCAACAUCUUCGUAUGUUUCCAUCAAAAGAGUGAUUGCCAGCUCAAAUGUCUAUGUAUGUUCCAUUUGUAUCUGCUUGGCAUUGCAAACCCUCACAUGUCCUCUCUUGCCGUUUCACACAUUCCUUCCAGUCUAAUCGCCCAUAAUGUUUUUCUGAUAUCUAGCCCCAGGGUUUUCGAACAAUAC